CAGGGUUUGAUCCUGGCUCAGGAUGAACGCUAGCUACAGGCUUAACACAUGCAAGUCGAGGGGAAACGGCAUUGAGUGCUUGCACUCUUUGGACGUCGACCGGCGCACGGGUGAGUAACGCGUAUCCAACCUUCCCAUUACUGUGGGAUAACCUGCCGAAAGGCAGACUAAUACCGCAUAGUCUUCGAUGACGGCAUCAGAUUUGAAGUAAAGAUUUAUCGGUAAUGGAUGGGGAUGCGUCUGAUUAGCUUGUUGGCGGGGUAACGGCCCACCAAGGCAACGAUCAGUAGGGGUUCUGAGAGGAAGGUCCCCCACAUUGGAACUGAGACACGGUCCAAACUCCUACGGGAGGCAGCAGUGAGGAAUAUUGGUCAAUGGACGGAAGUCUGAACCAGCCAAGUAGCGUGCAGGAUGACGGCCCUAUGGGUUGUAAACUGCUUUUGUAUGGGGAUAAAGUUAGGGACGUGUCCCUAUUUGCAGGUACCAUACGAAUAAGGACCGGCUAAUUCCGUGCCAGCAGCCGCGGUAAUACGGAAGGUCCAGGCGUUAUCCGGAUUUAUUGGGUUUAAAGGGAGCGUAGGCUGGAGAUUAAGUGUGUUGUGAAAUGUAGACGCUCAACGUCUGAAUUGCAGCGCAUACUGGUUUCCUUGAGUACGCACAACGUUGGCGGAAUUCGUCGUGUAGCGGUGAAAUGCUUAGAUAUGACGAAGAACUCCGAUUGCGAAGGCAGCUGACGGGAGCGCAACUGACGCUUAAGCUCGAAGGUGCGGGUAUCAAACAGGAUUAGAUACCCUGGUAGUCCGCAC
rnacentral:rRNA from 1 species